CCUGCCUCGGCCUCCCAAGUAGCUGGGAUUACAGCCGAGGUGGAGAGGACAUGACACACCCUGGAAGGAGGACAUCUUCACAUUUCAAGUCACUGUGGCCAGUUCUGGCCCCAGAACCACCAGGCACUGGGAGGAUCAGAGCAGACGUCAGAGACGUCUCAUGCUUCCAGAACCUGCCAUUCCCAUCUCCUUCUUUGUUGCAAUAGAGCAGACUUCUGGAAUUGGCAGUAAACUGGCAUUUGCUCUCCUAGUGUAAAAGAAAAUCUGCUUCAGAGAACAAGUAGCAAAUUCCCCAAAACAAACACUUAUAAUUAAGUAGUGUGUGUAUGUCUUGGUUAUAGGCCACCAGCAAUGAAAGGGCAUAGCCCGGUGUGAAUUUGCAUUUGAAUUCUUACCAAGGAGGCAGGCCCAGCAAACCAAUUAACCAAUUAAAUCAAUUAACCAAAUAUGUAAUUAACCUUGAGAACAGAAGUGUCAACAACAGAAGCACAACAAAGAAAGUAGCUUCCUCUUGGAAUUGUCUACUGGGUUUAAGCCUUUUAGUUUUCUGUCUUAAAGGCGUAGCCGCAGAGGGAAAACACUGGGCAUAAGACCAGUGGCCACGCAAUGUCAUCCUAUGGACUGGCUGGAAUCCAGCCAGAGGCAGUGUUUCCCACCUGUUCCGGCCCAUCGUCUGUAAGUAAAUACACGGAGUUUUGGAGGACGUGGUCCAUGAAACACUGGCCCAUUCAUAGUCAUUCCUUAUGGAAACACACAUGUCCACUAUUAAGAAAAGGGGACUAGCUGGAAAUUUUCAAGACAGAUCCUCCCUUGGAGAGGACAAUACCUGGUAAUUCAGACAAUUGAUUCUAAGACAAAAGGGACCGAGAAAGGAAUGGCAGCGUCUGCUAAACACAGUUAUGCGAGGCUGUUUGGACUGAGCUCUGACUCUGGGCCCCAGCAAUUAGCCUGAGUAACCAGUAUGGAGUCACUCAGGCUAAUUGCCACGAGAUCUGAAUGAACUCUGAAACAGGCCAGUUUUCCCAAAACAGAAGAUACACAACAACCAGUCGAAAGGAGCCUAGUGUACCAGAGCCUGAGUGACAAGGAAGUUCCCCUCUGUUUUAACCAUCUGUAGGGAAAGUAAAUUUGAAAUGAUCGAUCCACUUUUUGUCCCUUAUUUCUGCUCUCUUCAGCCUUUUUGUGCCUAUAAAGCAAACCUCCUCUGCUCCACCCAUCAGAACACUUACUCUACCAUAUAGAAGGAGGUGCUGCCCGUUCUAGCAUCACACAUAAAAGGCAGUUUGAUCUUUAAAGUGGUUGUAAUUUCACCUUUUGACAGCUUUAUUUUAUAGAGGUUUAAUCUGUACACAGAAAUCCCUGGGAAAGAGGAACUUGUGUGGCUAUAGGAAUUCUGUACUGCUCUGUGCAAUUCUGACACGUGGAAAUUUAUCAUUACCAAGACAAUACAUUAACGCCUUGACGUAAUGACUUUUCAGUAGCUCACCUUAUAAAAUUUUAGUUUUCAAGUAGCUUCAGAAAUGUUACUUAGAAUUAAUGAUGUGAAAAACACUAAGCUAGGCCUGAUGCCUUCGUGUAGCUUUCAUUUAGAGGUGGGGUGAAUUUCACUCAGAAAAAAAAUAAUAACCAACAAAGAGUUAUAUGUUAAACAGCAAAAAGAAAAUAAUACAGACCAGAAGCAAAUAUUUAUUGACCGAGUAAGGGAGACUGACUUAGACGAUUACUCACAUCAUUUCAGAAAAGCCGAAAUCACAAAGGAGAGGUAACACGAUCAAAUCAUUAACAGGGAAGCAAAAGCAAGUACACCAGGAACCUGGAGUCUUAUCAGGAGAAUAAAUAUGUAUGUGAAAUCUCAUACGGGAUUUUCCUAUUGCUUUCCUAUAAAAGACGUGGUUUCCGAUGUUGACCUAGGGCAAAAUCAAAGCUCACCUGGGCUAAGUCAGCACACAGUUCCUAAUCCUUAAGUAAAAAGAUACACUUGUGAACAGUAACGCUCAGUCAAGCUCCCAGCCUCUCCACCUCAUCAGGGAGUUAACGUGCAUUUUAUAACCGGGCCAGGAUGUUUGAAGAAUCGCAUUCCAUUCACUAAAAACCCAGGGAUCUCAUUCCCAUCCCAAAUGCAGGGCAAGCCCUCAGUAUUGUUUCAGUUAACCUCGCUGGGCCUCAGUUUCCUCGUCUGAAAAAGGAAGGGACUUUGGAAUGGGAAAUCUCUAUGAUCCCUCUCAUGAUUCGAAUAGACUAUUUUUCUUUUCCACCAAUAGAGGAAGGGACUUUUUGACAGCCAACAUUUCCAUUCCUACUAUUUUGGAACAACCAGAACACUGAAAAUUUGGUACGAAAAGCUUUUCUUACGAUAAAGAGAUAGCAUUUCUUUGAGAACAGUUGCUGAAACUUUAGUCAGGGAACUUAUCAAAUAAAGAAACCACCUCAUUUCAGACUAUGGGCUGAGUCCAAUAAAGUCAAACCCAAUACCUCCCAGGAAUUUAGAAUUACACAGUUGUUGAUCAAGUGGAGAGAAAAGAAUGUGAAUUUGUUUUUUCAAGAUUCUCCAACACCAUAUGAACUGUGGCUGCCUUUUCUUUAAAUCAUAUAAUAGAAGAAAACAAACUUCUAGAAACAGAUAUGUAUCAUCUCCUCCAAGUGGUGACUGGUCCCUGAUCAGUGUGCUGUGGUUUACCUUGCCUUGAACCCAAAACAAUCCCUUGUCCUCACAGAGCCUUGGGGAUGUCUGGAUGUCUGAUUCAGGAGGCUGAAUUCCUAUUCUAAGAUGCUUCAUACAAAUUGUAUUCUGUCUACAUCUGUGCAAGUUAAGUGUGUUAGUACUGACGUGGCAUGGAUUUAAUCAUUGUAAUGUUUGAUAGACUGAUAAUAUAUGAUGUUAAUGUUAAAUAUUAAA